UAGGGAAUCUUCCACAAUGGACGCAAGUCUGAUGGAGCAACGCCGCGUGAGUGAAGAAGGUUUUCGGAUCGUAAAGCUCUGUUGUUGGUGAAGAAGGAUAGAGGCAGUAACUGGUCUUUAUUUGACGGUAAUCAACCAGAAAGUCACGGCUAACUACGUGCCAGCAGCCGCGGUAAUACGUAGGUGGCAAGCGUUGUCCGGAUUUAUUGGGCGUAAAGCGAGCGCAGGCGGAAUGAUAAGUCUGAUGUGAAAGCCCACGGCUCAACCGUGGAACUGCAUCGGAAACUGUCAUUCUUGAGUGCAGAAGAGGAGAGUGGAACUCCAUGUGUAGCGGUGGAAUGCGUAGAUAUAUGGAAGAACACCAGUGGCGAAGGCGGCUCUCUGGUCUGCAACUGACGCUGAGGCUCGAAAGCAUGGGUAGCGAACAGGAUUAGAUACCCUGGUAGUCCAUGCCGUAAACGAUGAGCGCUAGGUGUUGGGGACUUUCCGGUUG
rnacentral:rRNA from 1 species